UACGAAGGGUGCAAGCGUUGCUCGGAAUUAUUGGGCGUAAAGCGCACGUAGGCGGCUUUGUAAGUCGGAUGUGAAAUCCCUCGGCUUAACCAAGGAAGUGCAUCCGAAACUACAGAGCUUGAGUACUUAAGAGGAUCGCGGAAUUCCCGGUGUAGCGGUGAAAUGCGCAGAUAUCGGGAAGAACACCCGUGGCGAAGGCGGCUCUCUGGGACGGUACUGACGCUGAGACGCGAAAGCGUGGGGAGCGAACAGG
rnacentral:rRNA from 1 species